GAUGAACGCUGGCGGCGUGCCUAAUACAUGCAAGUCGAGCGAACGGACGAGAAGCUUGCUUUUCUGAUGUUAGCGACGGACGGGUGAGUAACACGUGGAUAACCUACCUAUAAGACUGGGAUAACUUCGGGAAACCGGAGCUAAUACCGGAUAAUAUUUUGAACCGCAUGGUUCAAAAGUGAAAGACGGUCUUGCUGUCACUUAUAGAUGGAUCCGCGCUGCAUUAGCUAGUUGGUAAGGUAACGGCUUACCAAGGCAACGAUGCAUAGCCGACCUGAGAGGGUGAUCGGCCACACUGGAACUGGGACACGGUCCAGACUCCUACGGGAGGCAGCAGUAGGGAAUCUUCCGCAAUGGGCGAAAGCCUGACGGAGCAACGCCGCGUGAGUGAUGAAGGUCUUCGGAUCGUAAAACUCUGUUAUUAGGGAAGAACAUAUGUGUAAGUAACUGUGCACAUCUUGACGGUACCUAAUCAGAAAGCCACGGCUAACUACGUG
rnacentral:rRNA from 1 species